CAGUCGCCACGGUAAUACGAAGGGGGCUAGCGUUGUUCGGAAUUACUGGGCGUAAAGCGCACGUAGGCGGAUAUUUAAGUCAGGGGUGAAAUCCCGCAGCUCAACUGCGGAACUGCCUUUGAUACUGGGUAUCUUGAGUAUGGAAGAGGUUAGUGGAAUUGCGAGUGUAGAGGUGAAAUUUGUAGAUAUUCGCAGGAACACCAGUGGCGAAGGCGGCUAACUGGUCCAUAACUGACGCUGAGGUGCGAAAGCGUGGGGAGCAAACAGGAUUAGAUACCCCGGUAGUCCCUGUCUCUUAUAC
rnacentral:rRNA from 1 species